CAGGUGCUGCAGGCCAAGCUGAGAGAUGGGAACUUGGACCCAGGAGAGCUGGCCAUUGCAGCUGCAGCCCAGAAAAAGGACUUUCCUCACGGGAUCCCCGAGUGUGGGACGGAUGCCCUGAGAUUCUCACUGUGCUCCCAUGGAAUCCUGGGGGGUGACCUGCACCUGUGUGUCUCUGAGGUCCUGAGCUUUCGCCAUUUCUGCAACAAGAUCUGGAACGC